GGUUUCCUGCGGUGUUCGUCCGGGCUUACAUCUUCGAGCCGAUAAUUUGUUAAGCAUGGACGCUCGCCUGAUGAGUGCUAUUGUGCGCGUCCCAUGCGGAUGUACCUGCGGCACUCGGUGAGCGACCGCCUUGGACCUGUGGGUUCGAGUGCGGCCCGGACGAACACCGCAGGAAAUCC
rnacentral:other from 1 species